CGAGAUACGAGAUUUUUGUUUGGCGAAAGUCUUUCAAUUAUUUUUGUUUUCAACAUAAUACUGUACAUGUAUCCAUUUUCAAAUCAGUUUUGAGCCCCAGGUCAGGAAUCCUUCUGGUCAGUGUUCAUGGUGUUGGCGGACGAUGCUUGAGUGUUGGAUUCCUGUCGAGGAGCCUCCGUAUGUAUCUGAUAUACAGUAAAGUGAAACUGCCGAGGGCUUCGCCAUAUUCAAUUCUCUGCUACAGUGUACAACAGGAUCACGUUUUUGGCACAAUGAACUUUUGAAAAAGAGCAUAAGAGAACUAUUGUGCAUUUGAAUUAUGGAAGACCCUGUACUGAACACUGAUGAAGUGCGGGCCAAGGUGACACCUUACUCGGAUAUGCCAUCAACAGUAUUCAUGCUGCAAAGCCAUCGGGCUAGUAGUCAGUUGCCAGCCAUUGGCGAUGAUGAGUGCGGUGAGGAUGUGUGCGGUGAGGAUGAGUGCGGUGAGGAUGUGUGCGGUGAGGAUGUGUGUGAUAGCGCUGGCCUGGGUAGUUACGUCAGUGCUGUUGUGGUCGGCGGUGUAUCGCUAGCCAUGUUCUACCUCGCUAACUUGUCUUAGUCACCAAACAAGGCCAGCCAUGGUGUUGUGUACCAAGCAGCCCGUGUGCAUACCGCAGCCAAUGCUGGCAAUGGUGUUGUGUAUCAAGUAGUUGCCCGCGGGCUUACCACAACCAAUGCCGCAGUGCUGUGUAUCAACUACUAGUAUCAAGCAGCCCAUGUGCAUACUGCAGCCAAUCCCGACAAUGGUGUUGUGUAUCAAAUAGCCCACGGGCAUACUACAGUCAAUGCCAUGGUGGCGUGUAUCUAGCAGAGCACACCUGCAUGCCACUGCCACGCCUGCACACAGUGGUACAGUGUACAUGUGGUACAUGCCGGUAUACGUAGAGAGUGAUUGUACCCACUGGCAAGUAUUUGUUGGGUUGUGCAAGUCAGUACAUGGAGAGCAGUCUACACAGCACUCGGUGUAUCUCCCGAGAAUGGAUCAGCAGUCUACACAGCACUCGGUGUAUCUCCCGAGAAUGGAUCAGCAGUCUACACAGCACUCGGUGUAUCUCCCGAGAAUGGAUCUUGACUCGCACUUUUUUUGUUUGUUUUAACCAUUGAAUCAUUGUAUGUGCGCUACGAAACUUGGUUGCUAUAAUUAUAUUGUUAUUAUUGCUGCUUGCUUUGCACAUAGCCGCUUGCUGAGUGUUGCUACUGCUAUUGCAGACUACUGCUGCUGCUGCUGCUGCCGUCGUCUUGGUAAUAAUGAUGGUUUUGCCGUUUUUGCAUUUUACAAUGAUUUUUGUUUUGUGUUCGGUAGACCCUGUGUUGACUUUCACAGGUCAGUAUUCUUAGCAGAAUAUUUUUUGACUAUUUAUUAUUAAACCCUC